rnacentral:rRNA from 1 species
AGAGUUUGAUCCUGGCUCAGAACGAACGCUGGCGGCAGGCCUAACACAUGCAAGUCGAGCGCUACCUUCGGGUGGAGCGGCGGACGGGUUAGUAACGCGUGGGAAUAUACCCAGUUCUAAGGAAUAGCCACUGGAAACGGUGAGUAAUACCUUAUACGCCCUUCGGGGGAAAGAUUUAUCGGAAUUGGAUUAGCCCGCGUUAGAUUAGAUAGUUGGUGGGGUAAUGGCCUACCAAGUCUACGAUCUAUAGCUGGUUUGAGAGGAUGAUCAGCAACACUGGGACUGAGACACGGCCCAGACUCCUACGGGAGGCAGCAGUGGGGAAUCUUAGACAAUGGGCGAAAGCCUGAUCUAGCCAUGCCGCGUGAGUGAUGAAGGCCCUAGGGUCGUAAAGCUCUUUCAACUGUGAAGAUAAUGACGGUAGCAGUAGAAGAAACCCCGGCUAACUCCGUGCCAGCAGCCGCGGUAAUACGGAGGGGGUUAGCGUUGUUCGGAAUUACUGGGCGUAAAGCGUACGUAGGCGGAUUAAUAAGUUAGAGGUGAAAUCCCAGGGCUCAACCCUGGAACUGCCUUUAAAACUGUUAGUCUUGAGAUCGAGAGAGGUGAGUGGAAUUCCAAGUGUAGAGGUGAAAUUCGUAGAUAUUUGGAGGAACACCAGUGGCGAAGGCGGCUCACUGGCUCGAUACUGACGCUGAGGUACGAAAGUGUGGGGAGCAAACAGGAUUAGAUACCCUGGUAGUCCACACCGUAAACGAUGAAUGCCAGACGUCAGCAAGCAUGCUUGUUGGUGUCACACCUAACGGAUUAAGCAUUCCGCCUGGGGAGUACGGUCGCAAGAUUAAAACUCAAAGGAAUUGACGGGGGCCCGCACAAGCGGUGGAGCAUGUGGUUUAAUUCGACGCAACGCGCAGAACCUUACCAACCCUUGACAUACUUGUCGCGGAUUCCAGAGAUGGAUUCCUUCAGUUCGGCUGGACAAUGUACAGGUGCUGCAUGGCGGUCGUCAGCUCGUGUCGUGAGAUGUUCGGUUAAGUCCGGCAACGAGCGCAACCCACGUCCUUAGUUACCAGCAUUUAGUUGGGUACCCUAAGGAGACUGCCGGUGAUAAGCCGGAGGAAGGUGUGGACGACGUCAAGUCAUCAUGGCCCUUACGGGUUGGGCUACACACGUGCUACAAUGGCAUCUACAGUGAGUUAAUCUCCAAAAGAUGUCUCAGUUCGGAUUGGGGUCUGCAACUCGACCCCAUGAAGUUGGAAUCGCUAGUAAUCGCGGAACAGCAUGCCGCGGUGAAUACGUUCCCGGGCCUUGUACACACCGCCCGUCACACCAUGGGAAUUGGGUCUACCCGAAGGUGGUGCGCCAACUAUUUAUAGAGGCAGCCAACCACGGUAGGUUCAGUGACUGGGGUGAAGUCGUAACAAGGUA